CUUGGAAUAUGCCGGAAUUGGUAGACGGGACUGCCGAAUAGGUUUACUAGGAACAUCCACUCCUAGAAAUAUACCUUAAAAGCGGUUGAGAUAAAUGGUCUAUCUCGUGAAGGUUCAAAUCCUUCUGUUCCUUGAUAUAUCAAU
rnacentral:tRNA from 1 species